UACAGAGGGUGCUAGCGUUGUUCGGAAUCAUUGGGCGUAAAGGGCGUGUAGGCGGUUUGUUAAGUCAUGUGUGAAAUCCCUCGGCUCAACCGAGGAACGACGCAUGAAACUGGCAAGCUAGAGUACCAAAGAGGGGGGUAGAAUUCCACGUGUAGCAGUGAAAUGCGUAGAUAUGCGGAGGAACACCGAUGGCGAAGGCAAUCCCCUGGGCCUGUACUGACGCUCAUGCACGAAAGCGUGGGGAGCAAACAGG
rnacentral:rRNA from 1 species